rnacentral:rRNA from 1 species
GACGAACGCUGGCGGCGUGCUUAACACAUGCAAGUCGAACGGAAAGGCCCUGCUUUUGUGGGGUGCUCGAGUGGCGAACGGGUGAGUAACACGUGCGUAACCUGCCCUUGACUUUGGGAUAACUUCAGGAAACUGGGGCUACUACCGGAUAGGAGCUCCUGCUGCAUGGUGGGGGUUGGAAAGUUUCGGCGGUUGGGGAUGGACUCGCGGCUUAUCAGCUUGUUGGUGGGGUAGUGGCUUACCAAGGCUUUGACGGGUAGCCGGCCUGAGGGGGUGACCGGCCACAUUGGGACUGAGAUACGGCCCAGACUCCUACGGGAGGCAGCAGUGGGGAAUAUUGCACAAUGGGCGGAAGCCUGAUGCAGCAACGCCGCGUGCUGGAUGACGGCCUUCGGGUUGUAAACCGCUUUCGCCUGUGACGAAGCGUGAGUGACGGUAAUGGGUAAAGAAGCACCGGCUAACUACGUG